rnacentral:rRNA from 1 species
CUUGGUCAUUUAGAGGAAGUAAAAGUCGUAACAAGGUUUCCGUAGGUGAACCUGCGGAAGGAUCAUUACUGAGCGUGGGUCCCCUGUGGCCCCCCUUUCCCGGGGGGCCCGGGGUUGACCCUAGACCUCCCACCCUUGUCGAUUGUACCGUGUUGCUUCGGCGGGCCCGCCAUUGGCCGCCGGGGGGCUCGUGACUUGUGCGCGUUGCCCCCGGGCCCGUGCCCGCCGGAGACCUCCCUCGAAAUGCUACUGUGGUCUGAAAUGCUGUCUGAGUGGGAAUGAUGUGAGAAAUUGAUCAGUCAAAACUUUCAACAAUGGAUCUCUUGGUUCCGGCAUCGAUGAAGAACGCAGCGAAAUGCGAUAAGUAAUGCGAAUUGCAGAAUUCCGUGAGUCAUCGAAUCUUUGAACGCACAUUGCGCCCCCCGGCUGCCCGGGGGGCAUGCCUGUCCGAGCGUCAUUGCCAUCCCCUCAAGCUCCGCUUGGCUGGUUGGGCCCGACGUCCACCCGUGGCUUUGUGCCAGGGGGGACGGACCCGAAAGGCAGUGGCGGCUCCCGGAGGGUGGUCCCUUGGGGCGGUGAUACAUGGGUUGUCAUCUUUCACCGCUCUGUUGGCCACGCUCCGGGGGUCUGUCGAACGAUUUGGUCUUCCCCUUUAGGUUGACCUCGGAUCAGGUAGGGAUACCCGCUGAACUUAAGCAUAUCAAUAAGCGGAGGA